rnacentral:rRNA from 1 species
GGAAUCUUGGACAAUGGGGGCAACCCUGAUCCAGCGACGCCGCGUGGGUGAUGAAGGCCUUCGGGUUGUAAAGCCCUUUCGACGGGGCCGAUGAUGACGGUACCUGGCGAAGAAGCACCGGCUAACUCCGUGCCAGCAGCCGCGGUAAUACGGAGGGAGCUAGCGUUGUUCGGAAUUACUGGGCGUAAAGCGCACGUAGGCGGCUUUGUAAGUUAGAGGUGAAAGCCUGGAGCUCAACUCCAGAAUUGCCUUUAAGACUGCAUCGCUUGAAUCCAGGAGAGGUGAGUGGAAUUCCGAGUGUAGAGGUGAAAUUCGUAGAUAUUCGGAAGAACACCAGUGGCGAAGGCGGCUCACUGGACUGGUAUUGACGCUGAGGUGCGAAAGCGUGGGGAGCAAAC